rnacentral:lncRNA from 1 species
AAAAAACCGACACAAAAUUACUGAAAGGUUUCUAUGAAAAAUUAGCAUUUAUAUUACAGAACAAAGUUCAAUGAAGCGCUAUUAAUUGGAAUGUCCUAGAUGGAAUGGCAAGUGGGCGAUUUGCACCUAGGAAAGUGGAAAGUGGCUAUACGGAUAAUUGUUAUUGAUGGCGCAUUACGGGAUUGUCGGAUUGGCAAGACAGUUAAAUGAAUCUUAUGGAACCACGCUAUGUCAUUUCCAUUGACGUCCGGCCUCAAUCUGUUAAUGAGUUGCGGAAGGUGUAUCAUUUAUGGAGUGGGAACAAUUAGCUUCUCUUUCGGGUUGUAAGGCAAGUGUACUUGUACGUGCUUAAUGUGCUUAUGAUGAAUUAUGCCCACUCAAACCGC